CCCUUAAAGGCUGAGCUGGCGGAGCUGGAGCAGCUGAUCAAAGACCAGCAGGACAAGAUCUGCGCAGUGAAGGCCAACAUUCUCAGGAAUGAGGAGAAAAUCCAGAAAAUGGUGUAUAGUAUCAAUUCGACCUCGCGAAGGUGAACACUCAAAAGUUUCAGAGAUGAAAAGUCACCCCAGUUUAAAAGCAAAAAGGAAGACAGAAAAUCGUUACUCUUUAAGUUCCAGUUUGCUAAGAAAAUGAACAGUUUACAAUGUUAUUAUCCAGCUAAUUUUCAGAGCUUUAAAACUGUAAGCAUGUUAAGUGUAUUAAAAACAAACAUGUUUUCUUACCUCCUUCCAGAUGAAAUACUGGCUAGUUAUAAAUAGCGCUUCCAAACACCUCUGAAAAGUUUUUCUGAAAGCCUGUUCUUUGUGUUUCUGCUUCAUCCUGUUUAGCUCUGUACCAGAACUCUCUAGCAGUACGAAUUGAAGUCUUACAAGACAGGUAAGCAUUUGGCAGAGAUUGUAAGAUCAUUUGUGAAGUUUUAGAAGGUCUCUACGUGUGAUUGUUACUGAAUCUUAUUGUAGACACUAGAUCCUGAUCUUAUUUAAUUUGAGAAAUUUAAUUUUUCUCUUAUUUUGAGAAAAUACACAAAUGGGAUUAUUUUUCUAUACUUUGGUUUGUAAGUUUUCAGGAAGUAGUGGAGUCAUACUUCAGGAAUUUAAAUUUAAAAGUUGAGCUGAUGGUAAUUUAUAUUCAAAGGAAAUGCAUAAUAAACCUUUGGAAGAAAUAGUUCAAGACUAAAAUGCAGCUUUCUACUUUUAUAUUCAUCCUUAUUUUUCUUUUUAAUAAUCAACUUUAAAAAACUGAAAUCUAUCAAGCAAAAUGCUGUCAUUUGGUGACACAAAGUGCUACUUAGGAUUUGGGCAAUGUGGAAUUGUAUUCAAUGUAUUGACAAGUGCCCCCGAACUAUUCUGGCACUGCUCUUCUGAGCUGCCCUGGACCGAAGGGUGUAUCUUCUGUUGGUCGAUGUGCCCCGUGUCGUGGCAUGUGAAUAUGAGAAAAAAUGGCCAGGGCCUCUGACCAGCUUUUGGAUCAGUAGCCAGUGCGUGAGGCAGCAGCAAGCAGGACCAGCAGCCUGUUUGGGCUUCCGUAGGAAUCCGCUUCAGAAGGAGGCCACGCCCAAGCAGGAUCACGGCUCAGCAUGUCACCAUCAGAAGGCACUCAACACCCAGGCCUGGACUUGGCUCCCUGCUCUGGGCUCCUCUUUCCACACCCAAAAGUGCAGAGAGUAAAUAACCUGGUUCAUGGCACCUCUAAGGAGACCACUGGGGGCUCCUCUGAGGGGCUCCCCGGCAAAGACGAAUGUAGCAAAGCAGAAGUGAGAAAUGUAAGUCAAGCAUGAGCCAGCCUGAGUUGGAGGGGAAGGAACAGCUGUUCUCAGCUAUCGCAAAUGCAACUGCUUGCGGCAUUUGGGCUCUGAGUCUAACUCUAGCCUAUGAGACACUUUAUUAAUAAAAACGCUUUCUAUUUUUCU